rnacentral:sRNA from 1 species
GAUGCCAGGGUCAAAAAGCCCUGUCAUAUACCUAAGCCUGCUCAUAAGCAGGUGACAGGCUUUGAGACCCGCCCCAAUAUGAGCAUAAAAGUGGGAUUUUUAUCCCACAAUAUGCAAAUAUCGGGCAGGAGUGUGCAAGUGCAUAGCACGGAACACUCCGCAGGCAUC